rnacentral:rRNA from 1 species
UACGUAGGCAGCGAGCGUUGUUCGGAGUUACUGGGCGUAAAGGGUGCGUAGGCGGUUGUUUAAGUUUGGUGUGAAAUCUCCCGGCUCAACUGGGAGGGUGCGCCGAAUACUGAAUGACUAGAGUGCGGGAGAGGAGACUGGAAUUCCUGGUGUAGCAGUGAAAUGCGUAGAUAUCAGGAGGAAUACCGAUGGCGAAGGCAGGUCUCUGGGCUGACACUGACGCUCAUGCACGAAAGCGUGGGGAGCAAACAGG